AAGUUUUCCUAAAGGUUUUGCAGCCUCUCAAGGAUAAAUACAGAUGUCUCAGUACCGAUCCGCGAGACUCCACUAAACCUGCUCAUGACUCGUGAGACCUAUGUAACCUAGGCUCUGAUACCAACUUGUCACGACCCCGAACCGGACCCGGUCAUGAUGGCGCCUCUCGUAAAGAUAAGGCCAGCCGACACAAUUCCCAAAUUCAGUUUUAACAUUUUAAUAAGUCAAUUUAAGUCAUUUAUAAGGAUAAAUCCCCAACAAGUACAGAUUUAGUGAAACAAAACAAGUGCAGAAUGAAUACAGCCCGACAUCGGGGUGUCACAAAUCACGAGCAUCUACUAAGGUCUAAAAUACAACGAAAAAUUAGGUAAAUGUAUUAAUACAGUCUAAUAACAUCAAAGGGAGAAAGCAGUGCUGCGGACGUCGGGCAACGACCUUGCUAAACUCCAAAGACUUUGCCUCUGAUCAACCAAUACCUGAUACCGGGUGCAGAAAUACCUAAAUCUGCACACAAGGUACAUGGAGUAAAGUGAGUACUCCAACUUAGUGAGUAAUAAUCAUAACUAAAGACUGAGUGAUAGAAAAUCACAAAAAAUACAUCAAUCUGCUGCAUAGAAGUAGUACAAAACCAGUAAGAAAGCAAUGAAGCCGUGAAAUCUCUUAAAACAUCUUAGCACAGUUUAAACUUCUUUAAAAAUGACUUUUUCAACAGUUAAACAAUUCAAUGCAAGUCAAUUAGAGCAGAUAAGCACAGAAAAUCUGCCCCUCAGGCACAAUACACAAUUAACCAGGUAAAUGACAGGCAAUAAGAAAGAUAACCAUAUAAAGGUUCGCCCCUCGGUCACAAUGUUAACAAAUCUGCCCCUCAGGCAAUAUCUCAGAACAAUACCAGCCCCUCGGGCUAUAUCUCACAUCACAAUGGGUACCCGCACUCACAGGGGGUGUGCAGACUCCUGGAGGGGUCCCUUACGACCCAAACGCAAUAUCAAGCCAUCUCGUGGAAUCAUCUCUAGGCUCUCGGCCUCAUAUCAACAAGCCACCUCGUGGCGUACAUAUCUCAGGCCCUCAGCCUCAUAAUCAAAAUCAGUGUAUCACCGCUGCAACAUGCAGCCCGACCCAAAAGAUAUCCUCACAACACAGGCCCUCAGCCUUACUCAGUCAAAAAUCACAUAAGCCACUCGGGCAACAGUAAAACAUGAUGCUCAACCCAAAAUAUUAUUUGAAAUAUCAUUUCAAGGGUUAAAGCAGAGUAAACAUGGUUGAGUUUUGAAAACAGUAGAAUAUAGCAUGACUGAGUACAAGUUUGAAGUCAAAACAGUGAGGAAAUAUCAAUAAAAAUCCCAAAGGGUUCACAUAGCUGGCACGAGUCCCAAAUAUGGCAUUCAGCCCAAAACAUGAUGAUAACAAAUAGUUUUCAAUCAAAUACGCAGAAAACAAUCAUUUGGGAUGGACUACGUCACAAUCCCCAACAAUGCACGACCCCACGCUUGCCAUCUAGCAUGUACGUCACCUCUAUAUAGCACAACGAUGUGCAAUCCGGAGUUUCAUACCCUCAGAACAUCAUUAACAAUCAUUACUCACCUCGAUCCGGUCCAAACUCUAACUCAUGAUGCCUUUGCUCACACGAAUCGACCUCCGGAUGCUCCAAAUCUAUCCACAAUUAAUACAUAAACAUUAAAAUAUGCUAAGGAAACAAAGCUCACUCAAAAAUAUCAAAUUUACAUAAAAAAUCCCGAUAUUGCUCAAACCCGGCCCGGGCCCACGUCUCAGAAUCUGAUAAUAGUUACAUCAAUAGAAUCCUCGUCCUCACACGAGUCUAUACAUACCAAGAAAAUCAAAAUCGGGCCUCAAUUGGCCCUUCAAAUUCCCAAUUUACACUCUUCAAAGUCAAGCCCUAAUUUCCCAAUUUUAGGCUUUAAUUUCCACAUUUUUCAUGAUUAAACAAGUAAGAAUAAACAUAGUUACGAGUAUUGAGUUCACAAAUCUUACCUCCAGGUGUUAUAUCUUGAAUCCCUCUUCAAAUUCUCUCAAAAAGCUUCAAAAUAGCCCAAAAAUGGUGAAAGAUAACCCAAAAUCGCGGACAAUGGCUAUUUAAACAUUAUGCCAAGGCAUCAAAAACCUUCUUCGCGAAUGCGACCGGCCUCUCAUGUUCGGGUAGGCCAAAUUCACUGCCUCACCACUUUUCCCUUCGCGAACGCGGACAAUUUCCACGCGAACGCGAUGCUUUGCCUUACCAGGAUUUCACGAACGCGGUCCAACUCUCGCGAAUGCAUUGCACAUGGGCCUGGGGUGCCCAACGACCUUACUCCUCUUCGCGAACAUGACCCCAGUCUCGCGUCCGCGAUGCACAUGAAGCCUCCGCCUUCGUAUUCGCGUCCCCUUUCUCGUGAAUGCGUAGAACAAAUAUGUGAUCAUACAAAAACACCCUUCGUGAACGCGAGUCCCUGACCGUUAACGCGAAGAACAAUUUGUCUGUAACACAAAACCAACAAAAACUGCCAAGUCCAAAGUCCAAAAUUGAUCCGUUUAACCAUCCAAAACUCACCCGAGGUCCUCGGGACCUCAACCAAACAUACCAACAUAUCCCAUAAUCUAAUUCAAACUUGUUCCAACCUUCGAAACGCUCAAAGCAACAUCAAAACACCAAAAUCACAUCGGAUUCAAGCCUAAGAGCUUCAAGAACUUCCAAAUUCUGCUUUUGAUAAAAAAACCCAACCAAACCACGUCCGAAUGACCUGAAAUUUUUCACAAACGUCACAAAUGACACAAAGGAGCUACUGCAACUUUCAAAAUUCUAUUCCAACCCCUAUAUCAAAAUCUCACUUAUCAACCAGAAAACACGAAAAUCUCAAUUUCGCCAAUUCAAGCCUAAACCUACCACGGACUUCCAAAAUGCAUUCCGAUCACACUCCUAAGUUCCAAAUCAUCUAACGGAGAUAACCAAAUCAUAAAAAUUCUGAUCCGAGAUCAAAUACGCACAAGUGAAAUCUCGAUCAAACUUUUCAAAUUUCAAGCUUCAAACUGAAAACUGUUCUUCCAAAUUCAUUCCGAUUACCCUGAAAACCAAAACCAACAAUUUACAUAAGUCAUAAUCCAUCACUCGGGGCAAGUCAUGCCCGAGAACUGACGAGAAAAAUGCAAAAACUCAAAAUGAGCGGUCGGAUCAUUACAACUACUAAACCAAUUCACCCAUUCAAAUAAGUUGUACUCCAUUAGAAAGAAAUGAGAGAACUACUUGAAAAGAACAUAACCAGCCUUUAUCUACAAUUCUUUAUGAUACAUCAAACUUCUAAUUUCUAAAGUAGAGUCAAAAAAACUAUCAGCAAAAUAAAAUCAUAAAGCCUAACAUUAACAUAGUAAUUGCAAUUAAAACAAUGAAAAAAAGCCUAAAGAUGAUAUUCAGCUGCUCCUAAGGCUAAAUUUUUAUGUGACGUUCACUUCCAAGUUCAAAGACACAAUCACUUGGAAAUUUGAUAAGAACUGCUAAAACAAUCAGUUGAUGGCAUAAUACCAAAUAGUGAUAAGACUGCUAACUCCCACAAACAAACACAUAAUUAUCAUUGCCAUAUCAUUAUAAGCAUGUUCUCAUUGAAUCAAAAGAAGAAUUACAUGACCGAGGAAGGGAAAUAGUACCUUAACGGAAGUAAUAGGUCCUUAAAAUUGCCAAAUAAAGGCUGAUAAAUUGCUACAAACUGGAGCUCAGCGGAACAAAAUUUGAACAACAACUCAACUCAAUCAACCUCCACAUUUGAAACCCAAAUCAACUAAGAAGUAGAAACUUAAAAUAUUUUAGCAUUUUUUGUAAAAUUUCGGACAUCAACCAUCUUAAAGAAAGAAUUAAUAUUUUAUAUAUUCCUGUUUUUUUCUGAAAUCUCCGAAGAAACGAAAGAAUCGAAAGAAAAUUCCAAAAAUCCUCAAAGUUUUCCUGUUGUCCUCUCGUUCUCUGUCCGUGGGUAAGGGUUGAAGAAGAAGAAGAAACAACUGGUUUGGUGGUGUGCUGAAGAAGAAGGGCUAUUAGGGUUUUUCUAUUGAAGUUCGAUUCUUCGGUUUUUAGAGGUGAAGAUGAGAGUCCAGAAGAAAAAGGGAGGGGGUGCGCUGUUGCCCUCUAUGAAAAAGAUCUUAUUUUUCUUAAUCUUCUGAUGUUAGGUCUAAGUUUUGUUUUAGGUUUGGAAGGUG
rnacentral:lncRNA from 1 species